UACAGAGGUCUCAAGCGUUGUUCGGAUUCAUUGGGCGUAAAGGGUGCGUAGGCGGCGGGGUAAGUCGGAUGUGAAAUCCCAGGGCUCAACCCUGGAACUGCAUUCGAUACUGCCUUGCUCGAGUACUGGAGAGGAGACUGGAAUUUACGGUGUAGCAGUGAAAUGCGUAGAUAUCGUAAGGAAGACCAGUGGCGAAGGCGGGUCUCUGGACAGUUCCUGACGCUGAGGCACGAAGGUCAGGGGAGCAAACGGG
rnacentral:rRNA from 1 species